AUUGAACGCUGGCGGCAGGCCUAACACAUGCAAGUCGAGCGGUAGAGAGGUGCUUGCACCUCUUGAGAGCGGCGGACGGGUGAGUAAUGCCUAGGAAUCUGCCUGGUAGUGGGGGAUAACGCUCGGAAACGGACGCUAAUACCGCAUACGUCCUACGGGAGAAAGCAGGGGACCUUCGGGCCUUGCGCUAUCAGAUGAGCCUAGGUCGGAUUAGCUAGUUGGUGAGGUAAUGGCUCACCAAGGCGACGAUCCGUAACUGGUCUGAGAGGAUGAUCGGUUACACUGGAACGGAGACACGGUCCAGACUCCUACGGGAGGCAGCAGUGGGGAAUAUUGGACAAUGGGCGAAAGCCUGAUCCAGCCAUGCCGCGUGUGUGAAGAAGGUCUUCGGAUUGUAAAGCACUUUAAGUUGGGAGGAAGGGUCGUUACCUAAUACGUGACGAUUUUGACGUUACCGACAGAAUAAGCACCGGCUAACUCUGUGCCAGCCGCCGCCGUAACAC
rnacentral:rRNA from 1 species